AUUGAACGCUGGCGGCAGGCCUAACACAUGCAAGUCGAACGAGUGGCGGACGGGUGAGUAAUGUCUGGGAAACUGCCCGAUGGAGGGGGAUAACUACUGGAAACGGUAGCUAAUACCGCAUACCAUCGGCAGUGCCCAAAUGGGAUUAUCUAGUAGGUGGGGUAAAGGCUACCCUAGGCGACGAGACCUAGCUGGUCUGAGAGGAUGACCAUCCACACUGGAACUGAGACACGGUCCAGACUCCUACGGGAGGCAGCAGUGGGGAAUAUUGCACAAUGGGCGCAAGCCUGAUGCAGCCAUGCCGCGUGGGUGAAGAAGGCCUUCGGGUUGUAAAGCACUUUCAGCGGGGAGGCGUUACCCGCAGAAGAAGCACCGGCUAACUCCGUGCCAGCAGCCGCGGUAAUUC
rnacentral:rRNA from 1 species